UGCAUAUGUUGAUCCAGCCUUGCAUCCCAGGGAAGAAGCCCUCUUGAUCAUGGUGGAUAAGCUUUUUGAUGUGCUGCAGAACAGCGAAUAUUGCUGAACGGCAAAUCUUGCUGUCUUAUCGUUCCUCUGGAGGUUUCCUCUCAGAGCAGUACCCAGCCGUGUGAGGUGUGAAUCUGCCCCUACUGAGGGGUGCCUCCCAGUUAGGCUACUUGGUGGUCA
rnacentral:lncRNA from 1 species